UGGGCUGUGGCUCAGUGGCAGAGCGCUUGCCUCGCAUGCAUGAGGCUCUGGGUUUGAUUCUCAGCACUUCAC
rnacentral:tRNA from 1 species